UACGGAGGGUGCAAGCGUUAUCCGGAUUCACUGGGUUUAAAGGGUGCGUAGGAGGGCAGGUAAGUCAGCGGUGAAAUCUCCGAGCUUAACUUGGAAACUGCCGUUGAUACUAUCUGCCUUGAAUAUUGUGGAGGUGAGCGGAAUAUGUCAUGUAGCGGUGAAAUGCUUAGAUAUGACAUAGAACACCAAUUGCGAAGGCAGCUCGCUACACAUAUAUUGACUCUGAGGCACGAAAGCGUGGGGAUCAAACAGG
rnacentral:rRNA from 1 species